UGGACCUUUAGCUCAGUUGGUUAGAGCAGACGGCUCAUAACCGUCCGGUCGUAGGUUCGAGUCCUACAAGGUCCAUUGU
rnacentral:tRNA from 1 species